rnacentral:rRNA from 1 species
GACGAACGCUGGCGGCGUGCCUAAUACAUGCAAGUAGAACGCUGAAGAGAGGAGCUUGCUCUUCUUGGAUGAGUUGCGAACGGGUGAGUAACGCGUAGGUAACCUGCCUGGUAGCGGGGGAUAACUAUUGGAAACGAUAGCUAAUACCGCAUAAAAUUGAUUAUUGCAUGAUAAUUAAUUGAAAGAUGCAACUGCAUCACUACCAGAUGGACCUGCGUUGUAUUAGCUAGUUGGUGAGGUAACGGCUCACCAAGGCGACGAUACAUAGCCGACCUGAGAGGGUGAUCGGCCACACUGGGAAUGAGACACGGCCCAGACUCCUACGGGAGGCAGCAGUAGGGAAUCUUCGGCAAUGGGGGGAACCCUGACCGAGCAACGCCGCGUGAGUGAAGAAGGUUUUCGGAUCGUAAAGCUCUGUUGUAAGAGAAGAACGGGUGUGAGAGUGGAAAGUUCACACUGUGACGGUAUCUUACCAGAAAGGGACGGCUAACUACGUG